UAAUAAUAAUAAUAAUAAUAAUAAUAGUGCUAGGGCAAUUAAGUUGAGAAUCCCCUAUCCGAUAUCCCUGGGACCAAAAAAGUUAUGGAUUUCAGAUUCUUUCAGGGCUAAAGGAGACUCAAUGAUGCACUUUUGUGAUGUAUUAGAGGUGUUUAGAAAGCAUCACAGAACACAAAUAUAAGGGUGGAUAAGUUUCUACAUAUUUGUAUUAACUUUCAAUUCUAUUUUUCCCACUUAUUUAUGUUUUUUUUUCUUUUUUGUCUUGUUGCAAAAUAUACAAAAUUAAUGAUGAGGAAACAAUAUGGAUACAUCACAUGAUACUGGCCCGCCACUCUGCCCACACACAUCUUAAAUUAGUGUUAGUUUGUUUUGGCUAUUUCAGCAUUAUCCAAUUCAUUUAUUUAUUCUGUUAUUGGUUCAGUUCUUUUCUUGUUUUUCCUUUGGGUGGCACUACUUACAGCUUUCUGUGGACCAAGGUAACGUUUUUCAGUUCUUCUCCAACUUCUUUUUUCCUAAUCAUACCUUUCUUAUAUGCCAAUUAGAAUUAAUGUUUUCUUUGAAUCAGAUUCUUGUAUUGACACUUUAAUUUCCAUAGCAAUUUUUACUUAACUUUUUUCUAAUAUUAUUAUUUUUUUUCUGGAAUGGGCCCACUAUUUGGUUUUGCUUUAUUUUCACACUUAACCAUUGUUUUCACCAAUCCUCUAUGGUCCACACACUCAGUCAUCGUUAAGUAAAUCAGGCUCUUGCAGACCAUUGAUUUUGAAGGUUCACCUCAAGUUUUGUGGGUUAUGUCACGUGUUGUGCUGUGUGGCAGUCUAUCUGGCCCUUGUGAAUUUGACAUUAUGUCAUAAGUCCUCACUGAGCCACCAUGGAACCCAUACCCAGCACCUCUUGAGAAAAUAUAGGAAAACACAUUGUGGAGGAAAGGAUGAGAUGGAUGGGAAAGUGAAGAUUAUUCUGAGUGCAAUGACAGCAGUGAUGAUACAUUGUGAGCUGUGACAGCAGUAGUGAGAGUGAUGUCAUUGACAGUAGUAAGGUUGAGGCCGCCUCCAGGACACCAAAGAACACUGUUUGGUGCCGGCAGUUCACAAAACCAGCUACUUUUCACACCAUCGCUGUGACUAUUGAGCAAUGUUUUGUAAUCUGGAUUUCACCGCUCUGUUAAGCCAGUUAACGCUUCAUGCAAUAUUAAUUAACAAAAAUAAGAUCUGCUCAAGAACAUUCUAAGAAAACAACAGCUGUCACUUAAGGGUUAAACAUUUGUAAUGUCCUAAUUUUCCUAAAUACUAGGCUACUACAAAUCUUCUUUGUUUCUACGUAAUUCACUGUUUUUCUUGCUCAAAAGUUUUAAUCCUCACCAAAACCACUUGUAAGAAAUACAAGUUCCAUCUAGUGAUCCUUUCCUCACAACUGCUUAUUUAAUAAUAAUAAUUAUCAUCUUAUCUAUCAGUCUCUCUCAUCAUCAUCCCUACAAUCACUUCUAAUAACUUACAUUCAUCUACAAACUUGAAAACAUUCUUAAAAAUAAUAAUAAUAAUAAUAAUGCAUGAACAUAUCUACAGAUUCUUUAGUUAUUUUUCCACCCAUACAUCCACUACAUUAAUAGUCUUCACCUCAGCAACCUUCAUUCAUGCGCAUAUAAAGAGAAAAAUAAACACCAAUAAUAAUGUAUGCAUGUGUGUGUGUGUGUGUGUGUGUGUGUGUGUGUGUGUGUGUGUGUGUGUGUGUGUUACAGCAUUCCUCCACCACUACCACUAUUACCACCAGUUUCAGCACCACCACCACCACCACCUCCCUCCCUUUCAAUAACUUCACCACUCUCACCACCACAGCUAUCACCAUCAAAGCACAUCACCACUACUGAACCAGCUCAUCACCACCAUCAGGUCUUGUCACCAUUACACAACCAAACCACACAACACCAUCCUCACCACCAGUCCAGAGCUGCAUCACAAUCAGUCACCACCCACCAAGCAGGUCACACCAUACACCCCAAACAGUCACACCAAUAAGUUAAGAUGGUAUGUACACAGUUUGGCUUUUUGAUAUACUUAUAUAACAAGAUACUUCACCUCACAAUCAUGUAUAAUCAUCAUUAUCAUCAAUAUAUCAUCAUGGAGUCACCCUCAAAUCACACUCGUUUCAAUCAUAACUAAAAUCAGAUAACCUUUAAUAAGUUGAGGAUAAAAAAGAUAAAAUACUACAGUAGGGUGCUGAAACAUGCAAGACUCUGAGUGAAACAUAAGCUUGGUCUACUAAAAUGUACACUAUUUAGCACCUAUGGGUUGUGCUGUUUGAAUUUCACUUGUUUAACUUGGUUCCCCAUUAAAUUUCUCUCAUUAUGGUCAGUGAGUUGUGCCACUUUAACCCGGUAGCAGUGACGGGCCAAAUUUGUGGCUUUACCAUGUAGCAGCGACGGGCCAAAUUUGUGGCUUUACCGUGUAGCAGCGACGGGCCAAAUUUGUGGCUUUACCGUGUAGCAGCGACGGGCCAAAUUUGUGGCUUUACCGUGUAGCAGCGACGGACCAAAUUUGUGGCUUUACCGUGUAGCAGCGACGGGCCAAAUUUAUGGCUUUACCGUGUAGCAGUGACAGGCCAAAUUUGUGCCAUGAUAUAAACCCCCCAAAAUAGACUAUACAUAAUCUGAUCACAAAUGCUGAUAUAUAUUAUGAAAUGGUUUGUGUGAGGGGUGAUUUUUUCUCAUUUUUCUCGCUUGGAGGGACCAUUAAGAAACGUGAUCCCCGCUGCUACUGGGUUAAACCUGCUCAUAGUAUUACACAACGCUGCCAGAUUGUCAUACUCAGUUUCUCAUAUUUCCCGAUUUUCAUCCCAAAAACUGUUUCCUGGGCCACAAUAAUGAGAUUUAUUUAUAGUUAUUGUUGAAAUGGUUUACUAUCCCUGUUUUCUGGUGAUAUUUAUGGGGGAGAAGCUGGUAAUUGUGAUGCUCUGAGUACGAUAAUCUGGUAACGGUGAUAUUACAUAGUUUCCUGUUGAAUAUUUUGUAGCUCACUCACAAAUCAUGCAACUUGAUCUCACACUCUUCAAGACUUUACUGUUUGAUGAUCACCAACAUACGUCAUCUUAUACAGUCACCCUUAGACCAUGCACCAGUUAAAAUUACUUGUAAACACAAUCAUCUUUACGGCACACAUGAAGAUAUAUGUGAAGAUAAUAAACUAGAAUACAGAAAUGAGCUAUGUGGCACUAUGAAGAGAAAAUAUUGCGGGAAAACGUCAUGUGUUAUCUUGUCGGGAAGAAGCGAGAUAAAAAAAUAGUGUCAAAUAUAUAAGGGCGGAAUUAUUAGUACGGAUAUGAAGGAAAAACAUUAUAAGGGCAUUAAUGUAGUAAGUAGCGGUAUUAAGAUAAUUAGGACAUGGAAGAUUUAAAACGGUUAGUUGCAUCUGAGGAAUAUUGAGGGAAAUAAAAAAAGAGAUGAAAGAGGUAGUGUGUGUGUGUGUUAUAUAUUUGAGAGGUAGUAGGAAAAUUGACAGGAUAGUUAGGUUGGAACUGAGGAAGACGAGGAAUAUAAAAAGGGAGAGAGGUACUGGGUGUGUUUUACUACAGAGGAAGAUUAACAGGACAUUUAGUUUACAUUUGAGGGAAUAAAAAAGACGAAAGAAGUACUGGGAAUGUGUUUUAGCUCAGAGGUAGUUGUUGAGGGUAGUGUUGAAAUGACUUAUGACAAAAUUGUGCACCUAUGAAUCCUGAAUCAGAAUGAGGCAUAUGUGGAUUGAAAACAGAGAGUCCCCAGGUGAAAAAUAAGGUGGACACAUGCAGGCUAUAUGGAACUUUAAAAAAAAUAGAGGGAAAGGAGGCGAGUAAAAAAGAAAGGUAUUAAAGUUGAAGAUAGAUAGUGUGCAUUAUCAAUCUUUGAAAAGAAGGAAGUGCAAGCAAAGUUAGAUGGUCAUUAUAGACAGUGAAAAGGAAGAUACAUGAAAGAAACUGGGAUUGUAUUACAGAUGAGGAAAGGAGACAGUAAGAAGGUAUAAAGAACAAAGAAAACAAGUGUAAAUUGCCUCUGAGGGGAAAGAAAGGACUCAAAAUCAAACCACAGAUAAUCACUUUGUAAACUCAACAACACUAGCCACCCUUCUUUGAGUAUACCAUGCUUACACAUAACUGAUCCAAGGUACUUAAACUCAUUGACCUCCAUUUCUUCACCAUUCAAAAUUAUUUUGCAUUCUUUUUCACAUUCAAUUCCCACUCUAUAUGGGCAUACAAAAUCUACAACCUCACUUCUACUUCGCUCACAAACCAUCACUUUAUUUUUGUUGACAUUUACUUUCAGCUUUCUCCUGUUACAGACACUAUCAAAAACACAGACCAAAUUUUGUAGGUCACUUUAAUUUUCUGCAAUGAGCACCGUGUCAUCAGCAAACAGUAUCGAAUUCAGUACCCACUUCCUUCCCUCAUCGAACAGUCUUACUCCAACUUCUCCAACUUUGCCCUUAAUUUCUCUAAUAACACCAUCCAUAUAAAUAUUGAAUGACCAUGGUGACAUGACACACCCUUGUCCUAAGCCAUUUUUUAAGCUACUUUUAUUACAAAUUCCCAAACACAAAAUGUUAGCUUAUUCACCUUCAGUAUCACCAUUUUUCUUGCCCUCACUCUACAAAUCAUGCAUUAUAAUCAUGAAUUCACUACACAUACAACCUCUCUCAACUGAUGGAAAUAUCUUAUAAACCAAAAAGGAAUUAAAUAUCAAAAUCAACUUUGGGAUUAGUCAUAUACAAACACCUUCAUGAUAAAAUGUUAGUGUGUAUAAUGACAGCAAUAUUAUGGCCUUCCCUUCAUUAAACACAGAAACUUCAAUACUCCAGUCCUCAUAGUUACACUCCUCACUUUAGACUUUUUUAUAUUCACCAUUCUCAGAUUAUCUCCAGUCACCAUCACUACAGAUACAAAGCCAUGAUACACUGCCAUACUCUAUACACUUCAUUAUGUUCACCCUUCAUUCUUUCAAUUGUAUCUCCAUUUACCAUCACUACAGGUACAAAGCCAACAUACACUGCCAUACUCUAUACACUUCAUUAUAUUCACCCUUCAUCCUUUCAGUUGUAUCUCCAUUCACCAUCACUACAGGUACAAAGCCAACAUACACUCCCAUACUCUAAACACUUCAUUAUAUUCACCCUUUCAACCUUAUCUCCAUUCACCCUCACUACGAGCACACCAUAUAAGACCGUUCACUAUACAAGAACAAUGCCCACUAUAGUAACUUACGCCCACACUGCCCUUUUCACUAUCAUCACUAUAAUACAACCCAGCUUACUUAUGCUUAUAAAAAAAAUAAUCUUAAAUGCCAUAAUGAUCACUACACAACAUGUACGGAAAGAAAAAUAGAAGUUCAGCUAUAUGUAUACAGUCUUAAGGAAGAAAAGGAUAAAGAACACACACUCAGUUAUACAUAGAGAAGAAAAAAUACUCACUCAUAUAGAAACUAAUGAAGAAAAAGGGAUACAGCACACUCACUCGUACAUAGAAGAAAACACUCACUCAUAUAGAAAUUUAUGAAGAAAAAGGGAUACAGAACACUCACUCAGUUAUACAAAGA